UUACCACUCUGGCCUUUUGGCUUAGAUCAAGUGUAGUAUCUGUUCUUAUUAGUUUAACCACUAAUAUAAUCGCACUGCGAUUAUUAUGGUUAUCUAAUUUUUGCCGCCCCGUCGUUCGCCCUCUGGCAUGCCAUGGCGUUCGGCAAGAUGACCUUCCUACUGCACUCACCGGGUUGCGUCGUCAGGGGAU
rfam:Calocera viscosa TTFC12733 unplaced genomic scaffold CALVIscaffold_61, whole genome shotgun sequence.